AUAGUACUGUUGGUCCCAAAAGGC
rnacentral:siRNA from 1 species